GACGUAGGGCGCGAGCGUUGUCCGGAUUUAUUGGGCGUAAAGAGCUCGUAGGCGGCUUGUCGCGUCGUCCGUGAAAACCCACAGCUCAACUGUGGGCUUGCGGUCGAUACGGGCAGGCUAGAGUUCGGUAGGGGAGACUGGAAUUCCUGGUGUAGCGGUGAAAUGCGCAGAUAUCAGGAGGAACACCGGUGGCGAAGGCGGAUCUCUGGGCCAUUACUGACGCUGAGGAGCGAAAGCGUGGGGAGCGAACAGG
rnacentral:rRNA from 1 species